rnacentral:rRNA from 1 species
UACAGAGGGUGCAAGCGUUAAUCGGAAUUACUGGGCGUAAAGCGCUCGUAGGUGGUUGUAUAAGUCAGAUGUGAAAUCCCUGGGCUCAACCUAGGAAUUGCAUAUGAUACUGUAUAGCUAGAGUAUGGUAGAGGGAAGUGGAAUUUCUGGUGUAGCGGUGAAAUGCGUAGAUAUCAGAAGGAACAUCAGUGGCGAAGGCGACUUCCUGGACUAAUACUGACACUGAGGAGCGAAAGCGUGGGGAUCAAACAGG